rnacentral:rRNA from 1 species
CCUACGGGAGGCAGCAGUGAGGAAUAUUGGUCAAUGGACGGAAGUCUGAACCAGCCAUGCCGCGUGGAGGAAGAAGGCCCUAUGGGUUGUAAACCGCUUUUGUUGGGGAGCAAUAAGGUCUACGUGUUGACUGAUGAGAGUACCCAGCGAAUAAGCAUCGGCUAACUCCGUGCCAGCAGCCGCGGUAAUA